AAAGCCUGCCAGACCGCCGCUGGCGCAAGCGUGGAAACACCGCGCCGGAGGAACGUCCGGACUGCACAGGGCAGCGCAGGAGGUAACACCUCUCCACCGCAAGGUGCGGAUCAGAGCAACAGAGACGAGCCGGUUCAGUCCGGGUGAAACGGGCAAUCUCUGCGCGCAGCAAUGCCAAAUAGGCCAGCGAUGAGGCGGCCCGCUCAGCUGGCGGGUAGGCAGCACCGAGCCGGCAGGCGACUGUCGGCCCAGAGGAAUGGCGGUCACGCGGCGGGCAACCGCCGUGCACAGAAUCCGGCGUAUCGGCAGGCUUUACCU
rnacentral:RNase_P_RNA from 1 species